GUGCCAGCCGCCGCGGUAAUACGGAGGGUGCGAGCGUUGUCCGGAAUCACUGGGCGUAAAGGGCGCGUAGGCGGCAUGCCAAGCGUGUGGUGAAAGCCCGGGGCUCAACCCCGGGUCGGCCGUGCGGACUGGCGUGCUCGAGCACUGUAGGGGCGGGUGGAAUUCCGGGUGUAGCGGUGGAAUGCGUAGAGAUCCGGAAGAACACCGGUGGCGAAGGCGGCCCGCUGGGCAGGAAGGAAGCGUAAGCUUCCGGCUGACGCUGAGGCGCGACAGCGUGGGGAGCAAACAGGAUUAGAAACCCCCGUAGUCC
rnacentral:rRNA from 1 species